rnacentral:rRNA from 1 species
ACUCCUACGGGAGGCAGCAGUAGGAAUUUUCCGCAAUGGACGAAAGUCUGACGGAGCAAUGCCGCGUGAGUGAUGAAGGUUUUCGAAUCGUAAAGCUCUGUUGUAAGGGAAGAAUAGCAAGAAUAGGAAAUGAUUCUUGUCUGACGGUACCUUACCAGAAAGCCACGGCUAACUACGUGCCAGCAGCCGCGGUAAUACGUAGGUGGCAAGCGUUAUCCGGAAUCAUUGGGUUUAAAGGGUCCGUAGGUGGAUGAUUAAGUCAGAGGUGAAAUCCUGCAGCUCAACUGUAGAAUUGCCUUUGAUACUGGUUGUCUUGAAUUAUUGUGAAGUAGUUAGAAUAUGUGGUGUAGCGGUGAAAUGCAUAGAUAUCACAUAGAAUACCGAUUGCGAAGGCAGAUUACUAACAAUACAUUGACACUGAUGGACGAAAGCGUGGGGAGCGAACAGGAUUAGAUACCCUGGUAGGCUGCUG